GUAUUUGUAAUUUGGAUGCAAUUUGUGGCUUGUAGGGUGAAAAAGAAAUGAAAGAGAAUGAUUUAGUUUUCAGGUUUAUGGGUUUGUUGCCAGUGCUUGGGGAGUGGGAUUUUCGGGGAUGCAUGGAUUACAUUAUCGGAGUAAUGUAUUAAAUUUUGUUGUGAAGGUAAGAUGGUGUCUUAAUCAGUCGUCUACUAUAUUUCUGAGGUCAUAUUGAUUUUAUGUUCGAGACUGUUGAAAUUUGGAACGUGCCUUACUAGUGAUAUGAGGUCCCUAAAAGAUGCUAAAUAGCAUGUGUGGGAUGUGUGAACCUUGGGAAAUGAGUGCAGCGUUAUUUUUUGAAAAGUUCCAUAGAUCAUUUUUUUCCUGCUAUUUCCGGCUUUAGGUGGUUGAGGAGAGAUCAUGUCUUCUUCUGGUACAUUGUGCUUGUGCUUGGAUAGAUGCUAUGCGCAUUUUUGUGUUCAUAAAUAUGGUUUUCUAUUUUGUUUCAACUCAAAAACCAUCACCAAAUGAACCUGAAACCAAAUAGCAUCCAUGUGUUGUCAUUGAAGCCUUGACCCAAAUAGCAUCAAUUACGGUCCAUUCUCAAAUUUGACUAACAAUUACAUGCAUGAUAAUUACAUGUAUUAUUAUAGAGUGAUAAAAAAAUAAGCUAAAGUUGAUAUUCCUUUUAAUAGGACUGCUAAAAUGACAUUUGUUUUGGUUGAUAUUGAUAUGUUUCUUCUCAAUUCUUUUGAUUAAAUUAAUUACAUUUCUAUUAUUUGUGCUUUGCAUGUUGACUUUAUGGUUUAUGAUGAAUCAGACUUUUAAUUGUCGUAAAGGGAGGGCAUAUCUGUUCAACAAUGUGUAAGUUCUACUAACUUUCUUUCAAUCUGCACUUUCUUAUUUAUUAGUUCAUUUUUGCAUAUUCUUCUAGAAGUUUCUGGACAGCUGGCUGAGUGCAUGCGUUGGGUUGACUAGGAGGUGGUCAAUUUGAACGCAUUUGAGGUUUAGAGAGGAUCAAUUAUGCACUUGGGAUUGUUUGAUCUUAAUGAUGCUGCUUUGAAAAACUAUUCCAGCUAACCUUGCUGAAUCCUUCGUUGACAUUUAAAUGGGGGAUUUUGUUAAAAGCCCUUGUAAUAUCCUCCUCCCAAACCAUAAUAUGUAUAGUUAUUGGUAAUGCUAUCCAAACUGUACCCAUACUUUAUAACAUAGUGAUUUUGGUAUCCGAAACUGUUAAUUGAAUUAGCUUAGAGCAAAUAACCUUUGAUGUGUGAUAUCACUCAGCUUCUAGAUGUGUUUGAACUUUUUGGGUGGAUUAGGAGAACUGUAAUGGCAUAAUCUGGGCCUGAAAGAAGUCUGCCUUCCUAUGAAUGAUAGGCUUGUAUUUAUAGGACUAGGGAACUAAUGUUUAUUCGAAAUGUUUAAAGUGUAUGCAAGUGGGCUGUCUCAAUCACUGACGACUAUGUCAAAGUUAAUCAAGCUGUUUUACUAGCCAUAAUUACUCUGACAGUCUUCUGAUAUGAUUGGAUGGUUUUAUUAAUUGGUUAGGACUUACAAACAGUUUGUCCGACUGGUUUGCCUUUCCAAGGAAGAUCAUCCGAUCCCUUCUCGUAAUGACGUUUUGAUUCAAACUGGUCGACAAAAUCAUAAAGUACUAAGAUUCUUGGCUAUCUUUCACACUUAUGCUCCCUAAGUUAUGAUAACCAUUCUCCAGGCAUAUUCUAAUUGUUAUUUUGUCAUUUGGUCAACUGGGUGAUAUCUUUGUCAUCCUCCUUGGGUUUUGCGACAAGUGCAUGAGGGUGAUAAUAUUUUCUUUUGGGAUUACUCCUGUAACUCUCACAAUAUUUUGCCAAUGCAGUCCGAUCGGUUUUGAUGGAGCAUGACCCGAGAAAGUGUUUUGUUUAAUCCAAGUAUCGGGCCUAAGUUACUUCUAUCUCUCCUGGGCUAAGUAUCCGUUAUGGUCUUCAGGGUGGUAUCUACGUCCCGUUGUAGAGAUUAUGCACGUAUCCUUCAUCCAUAGAUCCACCCUAAUUGUAAUGUAUCAAAAUCCAUCAAGGUUUGGUCAAUGAGCUGGCCUAGGGUUAUUUGAGUAUCACCUGCUGAUGACUCUUUUGAUAUGGUCUCCGAACCUAGGAACCACUUUGGAGUAAGUUGGCCAGAACAUUAGAUUUCCACUGGGUUUGAGUGGUAUGUCCGACCUCUUUUAGGCCUUACCUUUAACAAGGCCAUCUGGUUGGUCAAUAUUUAAAUCCUGAUAACUUUUUCUGUAAUUAUUAGAGAAUAGUAUGCAUUCUUCUUUUUAAAUUUUCCACGUGUCAUUUAUCUUGAGGCCUGUUUUGAUCAUAAUGUAUCAAUGUGUGUUUGGUUAGUUGUUUUAAAAUUUUCCCAUAUAAUGCCAGAUCUUGAAGUACCAAAAAGUAUGAUAUCCAAAGGUUCUUCCUUUUUUUUUUACAGUUGUACAAUGAUGAAAUUUAAGCGAAUUUCCCAAUAGUAAGAAUUCAACUUUUCCUGUUCUAUAGGGUGAACAUAAUGGUUGGGGUGGUGGAAGAAAGGUCAAUGCUUUCCGGCUUUCAUACUGUGGAAGAUAUAUUCUGUUGUUGCUGUGGACAACUGCUUGGGUGGAAAUAUGUAAAGUUUCUCUGUCUGAUCUGUGAUUUUGUGUAGUAAAUGAUGCCAUGUUACCUGCUGUUACCACAAUUGAAAAGUAAUAACAUAACUUGAAAUGGAAAUUUCUUCUCACUAUGACUUGAUCUGAAAAUUUUUCAAAUGAUGGAUGUAAUGAAAUUCUUUCUUGAUGAUAAAAUACAAUGCUCGGCGACAUUUCAAACAGUGGUAGUGGUAAAAGUUUCAUUUGAAGUGAUCUCAGUUCAGAGUUAUAAUUUUUCCUUCUUUUAGAUCCUUGUCAUCCAAACAUUCUGCUUUAUCUUUCAUUUUGUUCGUCCUGAAGUCCAGCAUCUUCCUCUAAUUUAACAUUGUUAAGGGGUCAUUAUAUGGUGUAGGUGGCAGCGCAUGACAAAGGCCAAAAGUACAAGGAAGGAAAGUUUGUUCUUGAAAGAUGGAGGAUAGCUGGGGAGGUGACUGAGGAAUUCAAUUUGGAUGCUCGACUUGGAUCAAGUGAUGGUGAGAGUCAUUAGGAAUUUGAUGCAACUUUGUGAAAAUGAAUGGUGAAAAAUGACAGCAUACAACUUUUAGUUCAUAAAUAAGAGUUUUAGAAGCUAUAAACUAGAGACCUUUUUUAAAUCUCUGUAAAAAGCGCUGGUUUGGAGGAGUUGAGGUGUUGCAUAUAAGUUUUUUAUUAUAGGCAUAUGAUGUCCCCUAUGCACAUCAAACCUUGAUUGCUGCAUUCAGAUGUGAAUCCAUACAAUUAUUUGGAAUGGAUUAAAACCCGGAAAUACCAAUUUCUUUAUUGUUGUAAUGAUAUUUGUUAUUGGAUACAUAAUUUCAAUGUUGGGUAGUGCUGACUGGUUGGAAAAGCAAGCCAAUAACACCAAACUUCCCAAA
rnacentral:misc_RNA from 1 species